CGAAGGUGCAUUGUAGUCGCAUUGUCUGUUCCAAUUGCUUCAGGCAAUACAACUUCAGUGCAAGCUCU
rnacentral:pre_miRNA from 13 species